rnacentral:pre_miRNA from 1 species
UUUUUAGUAUAAGUAUGUUCUGUGUACUAUUUGGGACAUACUUACACUAAAA